rnacentral:tRNA from 1 species
GGGGAUAUAGCUCAGUUGGUAGAGUGAUUACCUUGCAUGCACACAGGCUCUGGGUUCAAUCCCCAGCACCCCCC